rnacentral:rRNA from 1 species
UACGUAGGUGGCAAGCGUUGUCCGGAAUUAUUGGGCGUAAAGCGCGCGCAGGUGGUUCCUUUAAGUCUGAUGUGAAAGCCCACGGCUCAACCGUGGAGGGUCAUUGGAAACUGGGGAACUUGAGUGCAGAAGAGGAAAGUGGAAUUCCAAGUGUAGCGGUGAAAUGCGUAGAGAUUUGGAGGAACACCAGUGGCGAAGGCGACUUUCUGGUCUGUAACUGACACUGAGGCGCGAAAGCGUGGGGAGCAAACAGGG